rnacentral:rRNA from 1 species
GAUGAACGCUGGCGGCGUGCCUAAUACAUGCAAGUCGAGCGAACAGACGAGGAGCUUGCUCCUCUGACGUUAGCGGCGGACGGGUGAGUAACACGUGGAUAACCUACCUAUAAGACUGGGAUAACUUCGGGAAACCGGAGCUAAUGCCGGAUAAUAUAUUGAACCGCAUGGUUCAAUAGUGAAAGACGGUUUUGCUGUCACUUAUAGAUGGAUCCGCGCCGCAUUAGCUAGUUGGUAAGGUAACGGCUUACCAAGGCGACGAUGCGUAGCCGACCUGAGAGGGUGAUCGGCCACACUGGAACUGAGACACGGCCCAGACUCCUACGGGAGGCAGCAGUAGGGAAUCUUCCGCAAUGGGCGAAAGCCUGACGGAGCAACGCCGCGUGAGUGAUGAAGGUCUUCGGAUCGUAAAACUCUGUUAUUAGGGAAGAACAAAUGUGUAAGUAACUAUGCACGUCUUGACGGUACCUAAUCAGAAAGCCACGGCUAACUACGUG